rnacentral:rRNA from 1 species
UACGGAGGGGGCUAGCGUUGUUCGGAAUUACUGGGCGUAAAGCGCACGUAGGCGGAUCAGUCAGUUAGAGGUGAAAGCCCAGGGCUCAACCCUGGAACUGCCUUUAAUACUGCUGGUCUGGAGUCCGAGAGAGGUGAGUGGAAUUCCGAGUGUAGAGGUGAAAUUCGUAGAUAUUCGGAGGAACACCGAUGGCGAAGGCAGCCUCCUGGGCCAACACUGACGCUCAUGCACGAAAGCGUGGGGAGCAAACAGG